AUUGAACGCUGGCGGCAGGCCUAACACAUGCAAGUCGAGCGGAUGAAGGGAGCUUGCUCCUGGAUUCAGCGGCGGACGGGUGAGUAAUGCCUAGGAAUCUGCCUGGUAGUGGGGGAUAAAGUCCGGAAACGGGCGCUACUACCGCAUACGUCCUGAGGGAGCAAGUGGGGGGUCUUCGGACAUCACGCUAUCAGAUGAGCCUAGGUCGGAUUAGAUAGUUGGUGGGGUAAAGGCCUACCUAGCCGACGAUCCGUAACUGGUCUGAGAGGAGGAUCAGUCACACUGGAAGUGAAACAGGGUCAAGAGGACUAAGGGAGGCACCAGUGGGGAAUAUUGGACAGAGGGGGAAAGCCUGAUCCAGCCAUGCCGAGUGUGAGGAGAAGGUCUUCGGAUUGUAAAGCACGUUAAGUGGGGAGGAAGGGCAGUAAGUUAAUACCUUGCUGUUUUGACGUUACCAACAGAAUAAGCACCGGCUAACUUCGUG
rnacentral:rRNA from 1 species